rnacentral:rRNA from 1 species
UACAAAGGGUGCAAGCGUUAUCCGGAUUCAUUGGGUUUAAAGGGUGCGUAGGUGGGGCGGUAAGUCAGUGGUGAAAUCCUGCAGCUUAACUGUAGAAUCGCCAUUGAUACUGUCGCUCUUGAGUACGCUUGACGUGGGCGGAAUGUGCCGUGUAGCGGUGAAAUGCUUAGAUAUGGCACAGAACACCGAUAGUGAAGACAGCUCACGAAGGCGAAACUGACACUGAGGCACGAAAGCGUGGGGAUCGAACAGG